AUGCCCCAGAUGAUCCUUGCUGUGCCAUCUGUAACUGAAGUGAAAAAAAUGUGGCAAGUGGAGAUAGAGUUCCUUCACUGCUUGGGCACAUCACCCUUUCUGCAUCAUCUAAAAGUUGUCAUUCUGUGCUGUCUGACAGCACCAUCUGGUUCAGAAUAUAAUAUCUCAGAUCUGGCCAUUUCUAGAGCUGGAUGUGCUGCCACCAUAUAUAACGUGAGUAGCUUUUGCCUUUGUGCUGCAUCUUCCGAAAUUAUAAUGCUGAUGCGGCAUCUUCAGAUGAUCCAAAACCCCAGACCGUUUAAACAGAAGCAAUGAAUAAUUCACAACAGAAACAGAGAAAAGCAAACAAACAAAAGUCAAUGGGCAUCUCCUGGUUGUCUGGGAAAGAAGGGGAUACACAGUAUACUCUGCUGUCAUUUUCAGAGAGUACAGAAUAACCUUUGCCAUCUGAGGAGAACUCUCUGGAGCUCUGCUAGCAGUGGCAGAUCAUUUAGAGGAUCACUGGUUCCAUACCACCCCGUCCUAAUGUGUCAACCUAGAAUGAGCUAUAGCACACAAAACUCUCUCUCUACAGGUAGUCUUCUGGGAAUUAUAACCACUAGAUAUAAAGCCAGUAGUUUUGUGUAGCAUUGCACAGUGUGUUUUGGACUGGGGCAAUCUUAUCUAGCUUCUUAAUUAGGAAAAAAAUUAAUACUCAUAAUAGUGAUUCUUUCAUUAGCAGGCGGGGAAAACUUUACUCUGGAAGAUGAAUGGAGAAAUUCAGUGGAACACUCAAACUGGCUUGCACCACUUUCUGAAAAAAGCAACCAUAAAUCUGAUUUUAUGUGGCGGUAGCAAUAAGCUUCUGACUGCUUUGUCUCAUUAGAGUUGUGGGAAGAAAUUGGAAUAUGUCUCUAGCCUGGCAAACUAGGCCCUCUACCUGUAAAUUAUUAAACCUUAUGUGUGUCAGGUGUGCUCAGAAAGGAAUGAGCCAGGGAACAGAGAGAAAUAAAGGUUGCAUUGUUAGGUGCAGAAGCCAGAAGAGAAAUUAGAGGAAGACAAUCAUAUUUUGUUUUGCUUUAGCUUUAUCUGCUUAUUAGGAAGCAUGGAAUAACAAAACUACCUUUUAGAGGUCAUGGUAACAAAGGGAAAAAAAUGCACUGAGUGCACAGACAGCUGAGUGAAACAUAGAAUGUGUGCUGACUAAUAUGGGCACUGGUUUACUUAUACAUAGGGAGUCAUGCUCAGUCCUAGGACAUCAGUUUUACAUUGUAUUGGAAAUAGAAAAAGAUGCACGCCAGAACUAGCAAACAUGAAGACCUG
rnacentral:lncRNA from 1 species